rnacentral:tRNA from 1 species
UCCCAGUGGCGCAAUUGAGUUGGCGCGCGGUACUUAUAAUGCCGAGGUUGUGAGUUCGAUCCUCACCUGGGGAA